AAAAUCGACUGAAACCUCUAGAAUGUUUCCAAAACAAGAACGCUAGAGCAGUUAUAUGGAUUGCCCCGUUGUGUCGUUGCUCGGUCGCUCGCUUGUAUGAAGCAUUGAUUGCUUGACGCAACGAGCGGCAAAUAGGAUAUUCUUGAUUUGGCAAUGCGGAUGGCACCACACGUGUAGCGGCGAGCGGAUCCUCCAAGUUGGAUCCGAUGGAUGCCUCCAACAGGCGGUUUCUCCAAGUUGGGUAGUGAUCCCUUAAGGUACGCUCUUGUGGUGCCUUGGUACCCUUUUGUGGUGCCUUCUCUCUUGGAAGAAAACAUAUAUUGAUGAAACUAAAGGGAAAUUAAGAUAAGGGUGUUAUGCAUGCAAAAGAACUUUCAGAACCGAUGCAUGCCUUUGUGGGGGAUAGUCAUAUGAUAUGUUCACGUGCUUUAGACUUUAUCAAGCCCACGUCGAUCUAGAGUGUUCUAUGUACUCAUGCUUAUAUGUGUGUACCAUCCAUUGUUGGAGGGAGGAAGCUUUUAUAUGUAUCUACGAACACAAGGCUUUAUCAUGCCUAUGUGCGUCUCGACUUUACGGGGAAGAGUCAUGUGAUAUGUUCACCAACAUAAGGCUUUAUCAUGCCUGUGUGUGUCUCGACUUUUAUAUGUAGUCAUGCAUAUAUGUGUGUACCUUCCAUUGUUGGGGGGACGAAAGCUUCUAUAUAUACCCUGGAUGGAUUUGGUUUGCCUGCUUGCAUAUCAACAAGGCUAGCCAGCUAGCAGUCAAUCAUCUUUCUACAAAGUGUAUUUGGAAGCAUAGGUGAGAGAUUGGAGGAUACCAAUAUGAGAUUCAGGCUACAUAGUGCAAUCUCGCUGGUGCAUAAUCGUUGCCAGAGAUGGCCACAAGCGCUACCUAGCUAGUUACUCAAUUGCUUCUCUAAGAUGGUCCCAUCCUUGUAAUAGAUCUUUCCGAACGUGUCAGUGUCGACCUGCUUGGCAAGGGUCUGAAUCUCUUGUGAUGUACUGUCCAACACGCCUGUACAACAUAAGCGAAGGUCAUGCCAGAUGAGUCGCAUGUUUUAUCUUUCCGGAGGGCAUGAGCGGGAGGGGCUUCAUACAACCCAAUAUUGUUGCUCAAGUUAUCUUAUAUUAUAUUAGUAAUUCAGAAGACAAAGUUACCUCCAUGUUCUUCCACAUACACUAAAAUUAUAUGGAACAUUAAUUUUUUUUGGUAGUGGGUGAAAUUUAAAAUAAAUAAUUGUUACGCAAAACUACUAUUGCCACAUCACAUACUAUCUCUAUGCACACGUUCAACUCUAAUUAAGAUUAAAAGAAGUCUAUAUAUGUUCCACGGCAAGCGCUAUGAGAAGACUACAAUCCUAAUCUAUAUAGACACAAGUACCCGAUCCCCUUUAUAACCAUGUGCACACUACUGGCGACAUUUAGGUGGCACGCCACUAGUAUGACGCUGCUGGUAAUAAUAGGUUACGAGCAAUGUGCGACCCAGAUGCCCCUAAUAUCAACAGCAUCAGCGGCGUGCGUUGGAAUAUCGCUAACAACAAGUUUGGUAGCGUCGUGCCAUGCACACACCACAAAUAGGAAUAAUAUGAGUGGCGCAUGGAUACAGACACACUACAAAUAGGAAUCAAAUGAGUGGCGCACGGAUAUACACACACUAUCAAAUUUACAAUGAGCUAGUGGCACUCAG
rnacentral:lncRNA from 1 species